GUGGCAGUCCUGACAGGGUUAAACUCCGAGCAGUGAGCUUCAUCCGUGUGACUCCACAUAGAACGAUGCUGGUUCCUACCGACAGCUGCCUACAAGGCAUUGGGUUACCUGUGCGAUGGUUCCAUACACU